rnacentral:rRNA from 1 species
UACCCGCAAGGGUUGGUAGAGGAGCAUUCUUAAAGGAACGAAGCAGUACCGAAAGGAGCUGUGGACUUUUAAGAAGAGAGAAUGCCGGAAUGAGUAGCGAGAGUAAGGUGAGAAUCCUUACGGCCGAAUAUCCAAGGUUUCCAGGGUAAAGCUGAUCUGCCCUGGGGAAGUCGGGACCUAAGGCGAGGCCGAGGGGCGUAGCCGAUGGACAACAGGUUGAGAUUCCUGUACUACAGUAUGACAGAACUGUGGGGACGCAGAAGGAGAGCACUACCUGGAAUGGAAUCCAGGGGCAAGCACAGGAGGGGUACGGCUGGAAAAACCGCCGUGCAACCCAAAGGUGUGACGCAUACCGAACUAAAGUAGGGAAAUGUGUGAGCCGGCUGCCGAGAAAAGCCGCUAUUGUUUGUACUGUACCCGUACCGUAAACCGACACAGGUGGAUGAGGAGAGAAUCCUAAGGCCGACGGAAGAAGCAUUGCUAAGGAACUCGGCAAAAUGACCCUGUAACUUCGGGAGAAAGGGUGCCUCGAAAGAGGCCGCAGAGAAUAGGCCCAAGCAACUGUUUAGCAAAAACACAGGUCUAUGCAAAACCGCAAGGUGAAGUAUAUGGGCUGACGCCUGCCCGGUGCUGGAAGGUUAAGGGGAGAUGUCAGGAGACGAAGCAUCGAACUUAAGCCCCAGUAAACGGCGGCCGUAACAAUAACGGUCCUAAGGUAGCGAAAUUCCUUGUCGGGUAAGUUCCGACCCGCACGAAAGGCGUAAUGAUUUGGGCGCUGUCUCGGCAAUGCAUCCGGUGAAAUUGAAGUGCCAGUGAAGAUGCUGGCUACCCGCGCCAGGACGGAAAGACCCCAUGGAGCUUUACUCCAGCUUGAUACUGGGAUUCGGUAUUGUAUGUACAGGAUAGGUGGGAGGCUGAGAAAUGGUGACGCCAGUCGCCAUGGAGCCGCUGUUGGGAUACCACCCUUGCAGUACUGGAUUUCUAACCAGCAGCCGUGAUCCGGCUGGGGGACAAUGUCAGGUGGGGAGUUUGACUGGGGCGGUCGCCUCCGAAAGGGUAUCGGAGGCGCUCAAAGGUUCCCUCAGAAUGGUCGGAAACCAUUCGAAGAGUGCAAAGGCAGAAGGGAGCUUGACCGCGACACCGACGGGUGGGGCAGGUACGAAAGUAGGACUUAGUGAUCCGGUGGUAUUAAGUGGGAAUGCCAUCGCUCAACGGAUAAAAGCUACCCUGGGAUAACAGGCUUAUCACUCCCAAGAGUUCACAUCGACGGAGUGGUUUGGCACCUCGAUGUCGGCUCAUCGCAUCCUGGGGCUGUAGUAGGUCCCAAGGGUUGGGCUGUUCGCCCAUUAAAGCGGUACGCGAGCUGGGUUCAGAACGUCGUGAGACAGUUCGGUCCCUAUCCGGCGUGGGCGUAGGAUAUUUGAGAGGAGCUGACCUUAGUACGAGAGGACCGGGUUGGACUGACCUCUGGUGCACCGGUUGUCAUGCCAAUGGCACAGCCGGGUAGCCAAGUCGGGAAGGGAUAAACGCUGAAGGCAUCUAAGCGUGAAGCCCCCCUCAAGAUGAGAUAUCCCCCGCAUAAGCGGUAAGACCCCUUGAAGACGACGAGGUAGAUAGGGCAGAGGUGGAAGUGCAGUAAUGUAUGGAGCUGACUGCUACUAAUAGGUCGAAGGCCU